CUCAGGGACUGCAGUUGUAACGAUUCAGUCUGACUCUUCCCAAAGUGAAUGCAAUGGACCUUUAUUCAGUUAUUCUGUUCUGUGCCUCAGCAGCCACAGUCUUUGGGAAUGCCAUUAAACCAAACAAAACAGAUGUUUUUGCUGAGGAGGGUUCAAGUGUUAUUUUGUCCUGUAGUUUUACCGCUUCUGGAGGUGCAGAUAAUCUCUACUGGUACCGUCAGUAUGGAAGAUCAAAACCUGAAUUUCUUGUACUCACCUACAGCAGUGCAAAAGAAGCUCAGCCGUCUGAUGUAGAUCCAAGAUUCUCUGUUAUCAUUCCAAAAAAGGAACAUGUGGAUCUGAUCAUCUCCUCUGCUGCUGUAUCAGACUCUGCUCUGUAUUACUGUGCUCUGAGGCCCACAGUGACAGGAAACAAAUCAGCUCUAUACAGAAACCUGCUGCAGUAA